UUUCAAGAUUUCACGCGAGAUUAGGACGUUUAACACGCGGAAGCAGCUGUUUACCUUCGUCGCUGGUUGUUCCCACGAUUUAGCCUCGAUUCGAGCCGACUUUUAGUCAGUAGCGGGUUGUUUUGUGUUUAUAGUCGCUGUUUCAGGAUGGGGAAAGCGGAUUUUCUGUCCCCUAAGGCCAUCGCCAACCGGAUAAAGUCUAAAGGACUGCAGAAGUUGAGGUGGUAUUGUCAGAUGUGUCAGAAACAAUGCAGAGAUGAGAACGGCUUCAAAUGUCACUGCAUGUCAGAGUCCCACCAGAGACAGCUGCUGCUGGCCUCAGAGGACCCCAACAAGUUCAUGGACUACUUCUCUGAUGAGUUCAGAAGCGACUUCGUGGAGCUGCUCAGCCGACGUUUUGGGACAAAGCGAGUGCACAACAAUAUCGUCUAUAAUGAAUACAUCAGCGACCGAGAGCACGUCCACAUGAACUCCACACAAUGGGAGACUCUCACUGACUUCACCAAGUGGCUGGGCAGAGAAGGUUACUGCAAGGUGGACGAGACCCCCAAAGGCUGGUACGUCCAGUACAUCGACCGCGACCCGGAGACCAUCCGCCGCACAGAGGAGCAGGCGAAGAAGAAGAAGCAGGAGCUGGACGACGAGGAGAGGAGCGCCAGGUUCAUCGAGGAGCAGGUCCGCCGAGGCCGCGACGGCAAGGAGAUAGAAGAAACUCCAGUUUACACGGAGCUGAAACGCGAGAGUGAAGAAGAAAAAGUUGCUUUUAACCUGGGCGCCUCUUCAUCUGUAGCCGGCCCUUCCAAAUCAAGUUCUGCGCUGGGUGCUAGCGCCCUCAAAGCAGCAUCAGCAGCAGCAUCAACCAAGAGGAAAGACACCAGUUCAGACACCAGAGGGGAGAAGAAGAAGAAAUCAGCUCUGGAGGAGAUCAUAGAGAUGGAGGAGAAGAAGAGGAAGAAGCAGCAGCCAGUCAGAACAGAUUACUGGCUGCAGCCCAACAUCGUGGUCAAAGUUGUCACCAAGAGACUGGGAGAGAAAUACCACAAGAAGAAGGCUGUCAUCAUGGAGGUGCGAGACAAAUAUGGAGCCGUGGUGAAAAUGAUCGACUCCGGAGACAAACUGAAAUUGGACCAGAAUCAUGUAGAGACGGUCAUACCUGCACCAGGUAAACGUGUUCUGAUCCUGAACGGUCCGCACAGAGACAUCGAGGCUCUGCUGGAGGGAAUAGACGAGAAGAACUUCAGCGCGACACUCACACUCGACUCGGGUCAACAGAAGGGGAAGAGAGUGGUCGUCGCCUACGAGGAUUUCUCAAAACUGGCGUGAACCAACAACCUUCCUGUUCUAACCUCAGGGACUCUACUGUGUCAGAGUUAUUUCACCCAACAUUCACCUGUACAUAUACACACACCCCACAGUGCACCCCACAGUGCACCCCAGUGAGUCACCACAGAGCAAUGUGUUCAGUUUGUUUUAUUUUGUAUUAAUAUUCAAGUUUAUCUUAACAUUGCAGAUGUAAAUUUUGUCCAAAUACAUUCAACAAAAAGUGA